GGGCCGGGCGCCGAGGCGGAAGUGUGCGGUGACCCAGGUGGGCGGGGAAAGGCGACCAGGUCGGGCCCGCCUGGCUCUCCUAACGUGGCAGCGGCCCUCUCGGAGCUGACAUCCCCGCCUGCCUUGAGCGACCUCGCGCCCCGCGGCCCCGGAGCCCCUGUGCCCCCGCGCCCUCCGGCUCCACCAGCUUCCUGGACGCGAGCUUUCCCAGUGACGUCAUACGCGGCGACUUCCGGUUCCCGCUCCCCAGGUCGGACCCUCACGUGCGGGCGGUUCCAGCAGUGGCUCCUGCAGCCUUUUAAUGGAAGGGCCGGCCCCGGGGAGGACGGUGCAGGCAAUUCUUCAGACAGUCAUCAUGGGUAUUCGAGGACUAAUGAGCUUUGUGGAAGAUCAUAGUAAUGAGUUCUUCACUGAUUUGAAGUUAAGAGACACAAAAAUUGUCAUUGAUGGCUACGCUCUCUUCCACCGGCUUUGCUUCAACUCAAACUUGGAACUUCGGUAUGGAGGAGACUAUGAUUCUUUUGCAGAUGUUGCACAAAAAUUCUUUGAAUCACUGUUGGCUUGUAAUAUCUGUCCAUAUGUUGUAUUAGAUGGAGGAUGUGAUAUUUCCGAUAAAAAACUUAAAACUUUAAAGGAUCGAGCUAGGGAGAAGAUCCAGAUGGCUCAUUCCCUUUCUGUUGGUGGGGGUGGGUAUGUGUGUCCUUUACUCAUCCGGGAAGCAUUCAUACAGGUUUUGAUCAAGCUACAAGUGUCUUUUGUCCAGUGCUUCUCAGAGGCAGAUCGGGACAUUAUGACACUGGCUAAUCAUUGGAAUUGCCCUGUGUUAUCAUCAGAUAGUGACUUUUGCAUCUUUGACCUAAAAUCGGGGUUUUGCCCCUUAAAUAGCUUUCAGUGGAGAAAUGUGAACACUAUCAAAGGCACACAAGACUGCUAUAUCCCUGCCAAAUGCUUUUCCCUUGAUGCAUUGUGCCAUCACUUCAGCAACAUGAAUAAAUCUCUACUACCUCUUUUUGCGGUGCUAUGUGGAAACGAUCAUAUUAAUCUACCCAUCAUAGAGACAUUCUUAAGUAAAGUGCGUCUUCCUCUUGGAGCUACCAGUUCUAAGGGGAGGAGACACCACCGAGUUCUGGGACUUCUGAAUUGGUUAUCUCAUUUUGCUGACCCUACUGAAGCACUCGAUAAUGUUCUGAAAUAUCUCCCAAAAAAGGAUCGUGAAAAUGUUAAGGAAAUUCUCUGCUGUUCCAUGGAAGAAUACCAGCAAUCUCAGGUGGAGCUGCAAGACUUUUUCCAGUAUGGUACUUAUGCUUGUCCAGCAGCCUUGAAUCUGGAUUUACCCGAAUGGGUAUUAGUGGCUUUGGCCAAAGGCCAGCUCUCUCCUUUCAUCAGUGAUGCUUUGGUGCUAAGACGGACCAUUCUGCACACACAGGUAGAAAAUAUGCAGCAGCCAAAUGCCCACAGAAUAUCUCUGCCCAUCCGGCAAAUCAUUUAUGGGCUUCUUCUGAAUGCUUCUCCACAUCUGGAAAAUACAUCCUGGAAUGUAUUGCCUUCUCAGCCUCUAGCUUUCAGUGAAGUGGAAAGGAUUAAUAGAAAUAUCAAAACAUCAACUGUUAAUGCAGUAGAACUGCCCAAGGAUCAUUCUGACUUAAGCAAAUUGACUGAGGUUAACAGGUCCAUUCCCAGCUGUCAACACAACACAAUGAUUGACCACAAACUCGGUUUUAGAUAACGGAGAAAUAUUUCAUCCUUUCAGAAAGUUAAGAAAUCCUUUUCUGGCUGCAUGCAGACAUUAGGAAUACAACUGUUUGUUUUUUUUGUUUUGUUUUUUUCCCGUAAAGUUUGAUCAUAAAAAGUCCUUCUAAAGGUGCCCUUUUAAUAGUCCUAAUUUCCUUAUUUGUAGAAAUGUGUGGCCUAUAAGGUCCCUUAUGGUUCUUAAGAUUCAUUAAGGUAAAGUUAAUUCAAGAAGCCUGAAACCCUCAUAGCUAUUAACUUCCUUUUAUUUGAAGUACACUCUAAAGCAUGGAGUAAAAGUGAGUAUGGAGUUUUAUUGUAAACACGAUACAGGUAGUCCUUAAAUCUUACUAUCUCCCUUGAUGUUUCUCUCACCUACAAGCAGCCACCCUGGAAUAAUCCUUGUGUGGGAAAACAAAGAUAAUAAAACAUUCACCUGGGUAGGGACAAGAGACAGGACCCAAAUAGAAGGCUGUAUAUGCCACAAAGGGUGCAUAUACUCUAUGUUUGCCUUCUGGAAGUGAUCAGUAAUGGCAUCGUGAAGAAGGCAGGGUCUCAAUAUUCACUGGCAAGUAAGAGUAAGGUUGAAUAUACAUCUUUGUGUCUCAAAGCAGAUAGUUAAAAUGCAGAUUCCUGGGUUCCUCUCAUAUUUACUGAAUCAAAAUUCGGGGGUUGGGACCUGAGGACUGAAUAUUUUAAUAAGCUUCCUAAGUGAUACAUGCACUGAAGAUGUUCACCAGCCUACAUGGAAGAUGGAAUAUCAUGAGCAAGGGCUGUGUAGUGGGGGUAGACAAUAUAGCCAUUCAACCAUAUUUAUUAAGCACCCAGUGUUUUAAAUGCUUUGAAUGUUGCUGAUUUCUUUCCAUAGGAAGAUAAGAAACUGACAGACAAUUCAUUUGCAUUGAAGUCUCUUCAGAGUAGGAAAAAAAGAAAAAAAACACCAAAGACAUUCCCCAAAGUAACUUGCAGGAUGUUUGGUAUGUAUUUUCAGCUCUCGUUGGCCAAACGUCAGAUACUUCUGUUAGAAACUCUGAAGGUGAAACAGACCAUCCUGGAACCAAUCCCUUCUUCAUUGAAGCUGCCCAUUUCUGUCAGUUGCUAUUGGUUGCAGCACACAGAGGGCAAGGCAAAGCUACAUCACCUCCAGGCCUUACUGCUAGGGAUGCUGAUGGGGCCCUUGCAUGCCAUAAUCAACAGCCCUGGAAUUGUGGACCCCGCACCCAGGCAGGCUCAGUGCCUUGCUGCUCGCUAAUUGGUAAAAGAUAAGGAAGAUCUGCGGGAGGAUGGUGCUAGGAUGUUGUAUGAAGAGUUCCAAAGAGUGAAGGAGCAGACGCGGCCGGGCACGAGACUGGACUUAGACACAGCUCACAUCUUCUGUCAGUGGCAGUGCUGUCUGCAGA